rnacentral:rRNA from 1 species
AGUGAACGCUGGCGGUAGGCCUAACACAUGCAAGUCGAACGGCAGCACAGGAGAGCUUGCUCUCUGGGUGGCGAGUGGCGGACGGGUGAGGAAUACAUCGGAAUCUACUCUGUCGUGGGGGAUAACGUAGGGAAACUUACGCUAAUACCGCAUACGACCUACGGGUGAAAGCAGGGGACCUUCGGGCCUUGCGCGAUUGAAUGAGCCGACGUCGGAUUAGCUAGUUGGCGGGGUAAAGGCCCACCAAGGCGACGAUCCGUAGCUGGUCUGAGAGGAUGAUCAGCCACACUGGAACUGAGACACGGUCCAGACUGCUACCGGAGGCAGCAGUGGGGAAUAUUGGACAAUGGGCGCAAGCCUGAUCCAGCCAUACCGCGUGGGUGAAGAAGGCCUUCGGGUUGUAAGGCCCUUUUGUUGGGAAAGAAAUCCAGCUGGCUAAUACCCGGUUGGGAUGACGGUACCCAAAGAAUAAGCACCGGCUAACUUCGUGCCAGCCGCCGCAGUAA